UACGUAGGGUGCGAGCGUUGUCCGGAAUUACUGGGCGUAAAGAGCUCGUAGGUGGUUUGUCGCGUUGUUCGUGAAAACUUACAGCUUAACUGUGGGCGUGCGGGCGAUACGGGCAGACUGGAGUACUGCAGGGGAGACUGGAAUUCCUGGUGUAGCGGUGGAAUGCGCAGAUAUCAGGAGGAACACCGGUGGCGAAGGCGGGUCUCUGGGCAGUAACUGACGCUGAGGAGCGAAAGCGUGGGGAGCGAACAGG
rnacentral:rRNA from 1 species